rnacentral:rRNA from 1 species
CCUACGGGUGGCAGCAGUGAGGAAUAUUGGUCAAUGGGCGGAAGCCUGAACCAGCCAAGUAGCGUGCGGGAUGAAGGCCCUACGGGUCGUAAACCGCUUUUGCACGGGGAUAACACCCUCCACUUGUGGAGGUUUGCAGGUACCGUGCGAAUAAGGGCCGGCUAAUUCCGUGCCAGCAGCCGCGGUAAUACGGAAGGCCCGAGCGUUAUCCGGAUUAAUUGGGUUUAAAGGGAGGGUAGGCGGGCGAUAAAGUCAGCGGUAAAACCGCGCGGCUCAACCGCGCCCCGCAGUUGAAACUGGACGCCUUGAGUUCAGAAGAGGCAGGCGGAAUGCGUGGUGUAGCGGUGAAAUGCAUAGAGAUCA